GAUGAAGAACGUAGCGAAAUGCGAUACUUGGUGUGAAUUGCAGAAUCCCGUGAACCAUCGAGUCUUUGAACGCAAGUUGCGCCCGAAGCCGUCAGGCCGAGGGCACGCCUGCCUGGGCGUCACACGCCGUUGCCCCCCCGCGCCCCGCACCCAACGCUUUGGGAGCGACCGCGGGGCGGGCUGAUGAUGGCCUCCCGUGCGCUCCGCCGCGCGGUUGGCCCAAAUACCGAGGCCCCGGCGACGUGCGCCACGACGAUCGGUGGUUGAGAGACCUCUGUCGCAAGUCGUGCGCGCCCGUCGCGUCACGCGGGCUCGCAUAGCGCCUCGCGCCGCACCCGGUGCGGAGCUUUCAACGCGACCCCAGGUCAGGCGGGGUUACCCGCUGAAUUUAAGCAUAUCAAUAAGCGGAGGA
rnacentral:misc_RNA from 1 species